AUAGCGUAUAUUAAAGUUGUUGCCGUUAAAAAGCUCGUAGUCGAACUUCGGCCUUUGCUGGUUGGUCCGCCUUUUGGUGUGUACUGAUCUAGCGAAGGCUUACCUCUUGGUGAACUGUGAUGUCCUUUAUUGGGUGUUGUAGGGAACCAAGACUUUUACUUUGAAAAAAUUAGAGUGUUCAAAGCAGGCCUAUGCCCGAAUACAUUAGCAUGGAAUAAUAGAAUAGGACGUGCACUCCUAUUUUGUUGGUUUCUAGGAGCGCCGUAAUGAUUAAUAGGGAUAGUUGGGGGCAUUUGUAUUACAGCGUCAGAGGUGAAAUUCUUGGAUUGCUGUAAGACAAACUACUG
rnacentral:rRNA from 1 species